GACGAACCGUGCGAACGUUGUUCGGAUUCACUGGGCUUAAAGGGCGCGUAGGCGGGUUGUCAAGUCAGGGGUGAAAGCCUCCAGCUCAACUGGAGAAGUGCCUUUGAUACUGAUGAUCUUGAGGGAGGUAGGGGCAUGUGGAACUUCCGGUGGAGCGGUGAAAUGCGUAGAUAUUGGAAGGAACGCCGGUGGCGAAAGCGACGUGCUGGACCUCUUCUGACGCUGAGGCGCGAAAGCUAGGGGAGCGAACGGG
rnacentral:rRNA from 1 species